rnacentral:rRNA from 1 species
UACGUAGGGACCGAGCGUUGUCCGGAAUCAUUGGGCGUAAAGCGCGUGUAGGCGGCCCGAUAAGUCCGCUGUGAAAGUCCAGGGCUCAACCCUGGGAUGCCGGUGGAUACUGUCGGGCUCGAGUCCGGAAGAGGAGUGUGGAAUUCCGUGGUGUAGCGGUGAAAUGCGUAGAUAUCAGGAGGAAUACCGGUGGCGAAGGCGGUUCUCUGGGAAUGUCCUGACGCUGAGGAGCGAAAGUGUGGGGAGCGAACAGG